AUUCCUAUCUCAUGGAAAUGAUGGUGAAGAAAAAAGAGAUAGUGUGCAUGAUUAUCUGUUGUGGGAACACCUAACGUAAGAAUAAGAAUUUCCUUAUUUGUUCUCCUGUCAGUGAUUUGGUAUUUUACCACUUCAUUACAUUUCAUAAUACAGCAAAGUAUAAAGCUCUUCACAUACUUGACUGAGAUAGUGCCAAAAGAAUUUCUUCUUCAUAGUUGCUCCGAAUAAAUGUAUGCAUCUAACAAUGUUUUUAUCAGUAUCUGACUCAUUGUAUGAAUGAAGUGACCACAGACUCUGAACUAUGUGAACCCUUUAGAACCUACAAGAUUUGUUUUUACAGGGCAUCAGAUUCCACUGCAGACACACUUCCUUGACUUGGAUAUCUGUCAGCUGAUAGACUACAAUUGGUGAAGACAGAGCUGCUUUUUUAGCUAUGAUGGGAAAGUUGAAGAAACUAGAUAAACUCACAGCCAUCCUAUUUUAGAUGGAAAACUUUCUGGUUUUCUGAAUUGUCAAAAGCAGAAAGCUAAGUGAAAAGUGCUAAAGCUUUGUGCAUGUGCUGGCUGAUAUACCUGUAACACCACAAAGGAAACAUACAAGGAAGAAAGCACAACUCCAAAACCCUUAUCUCACUUUGAAGAGUAACCUGAAUUGUGAAACCACAGUUUUGGAAUGCCACUGCUGACCAAGGACCAGCUGUACAAGAUUUCUGUUACAGUAUAAGAAGACAUAAGGGUUUUGAUUCACAGCCCGUCCUGUAUUAGUUCAUUUGAAUGACACAUGAUGAUUUAGCAGAAAAUAGAAAAUGAAAGCAGAAACUACAAAUUAUUUCUGAAAAUUUUUGCUGUGAAAUCACAUACAAAUAAGAAGGAAGAAUGUACCAAUUAUAUAGAAAUGGGAUGUUUCUUUUCUACUUCAUAUCUUAUUUUUAGGGUGGGGAUGAGCCACUCGGUUAAUGCAAGACACUAAUCCUGAUGUCACAGUGUCAUAUACAGAGAGGAGAGACUGCUUAUUUCAAACCUGCUGGAAUACAAGGACAGAACAGGGACAGGGAAAUACGGACAAAUCAUGUGCAGCAAAACUCUGCUGUGGGAACCAGGCCAUCUUUAAGAGCUUCCGUGGAUGGAAGAAAGUUCCAACACUAGGACCUUGUUGUACCCCGAAGUUUCUAGAGAACUUGAAAUUUCCUAGGUCCAGAUGUGAAGAGAAGCAAGACAUUUCUACUUCUACCCUUUUGCUAAAGCAAGCAGAGUUAAAGGAAUUCCAUAAAGACUCAGAAAAGUGUCUUGGUUUGAUAUUGGUCAAAUGCCAGGCAUGUAUGGAAUUUGUUUG
rnacentral:lncRNA from 1 species